rnacentral:rRNA from 1 species
GGGCCCGCACAAGCGGUGGAGCAUGUGGUUUAAUUCGAUGAUACGCGAGGAACCUUACCAGGGCUUAAAUGUAAGUUGCAUAAGCUAGAGAUAGCUUUUUCUUCGGACCACUUACAAGGUGCUGCAUGGUUGUCGUCAGCUCGUGCCGUGAGGUGUCAGGUUAAGUCCUAUAACGAGCGCAACCCCUGUUGUUAGUUGCCAGCGAGUCAUGUCGGGAACUCUAACAAGACUGCCGGUGCAAACCGUGAGGAAGGUGGGUAUGACGUCAAAUCAUCACGGCCCUUACGUCCUGGGCUACACACGUGCUACAAUGGUCGGUACAGAGAGCAGCCACUACGCGAGUAGGAGCGAAUCUUCAAAGCCGAUCACAGUUCGGAUCGGAGUCUGCAACUCGACUCCGUGAAGCUGGAAUC